UCCCCGCAGGUUCCCGGGGCGGCGGGGGGCGGCUGGGCUCGAUAGAGCUGCCGCGGCCUGAGGGGGGGCAGGAGGCGGGCAGCCUUUGCCGGCGGCCGCUCAGGGCGUUUCGGGGUAGCGGAGGCGGCGGGGCAGGUCCCCUCCGGUGCGAGGGAGUUAAAAUGGUGCCGAAACUUGAAGAGGGGAGAGCGGGGGUGCCGUGCGGGGCGGCGGCGGGAUGAGGUGGGGGGAGGCCCGGGCAGCCCGGCCCUGCCCCGGGGCUGGUGUGGCGAGGUCGCUGUCGCUUCGCAGCUUGUGUCAGUGAUUUCCAUCCAAGCUGAAAUCCUUCCCGUCGCGAUUAACCCAGGAACAAUUUGCUAAGAGGAGUCUCUGUUGUUAUGCGGAAACUCUGAUCUCCUGUGCUAAAGGCCACGAAGCGGUAAGUAUUCUCCUGCAAAGAUAUUUUUUUUUCCUACACAUUGCACAAAUCAGCGCUGCUGUUAGUACAAAUUCGCAGCAUCCAUUGCUCGAAUUCAGAGCGAGUUAUUACAGAGCAUGCUGUGAAUGCAAAUUAAAAAAUAACGCACAACACUCAACCAAAUCCUAACGGGCCAAUGGCACGAUGUCAAAUACAUCCGGAGCAAAGACUUCUAAUACUGUUAUUAAAACCCCAAGCAAACAAACAAGGCGAGUAAAUCAGCACUGACAAAAGCAGUUGGAGCAGCGUUUGCUGGUCACAGAUCAGCGUGCAGCCCGACGGCACGGCUCCCAGCGGCUCCCAAAAUGCCUGCACGGCUGAAGGGAGAAUAUGCCUCCAGAGAUGUCACGUAAUGGAUGGGUUCUCAUCAGGCGGUGUCGAUGAUGGGGGAGGUAAUUACGUCAGGCUAAACACUUCUUUCCAUCAGUGAGUGUGGCACAGUGUGUCCGGCUGCUAAUCUGUGGAAAAACCCGAUUUGGAAUCGCAUGUCUGUUGAAGUGUGGGUAUGAAACGCUCAGCUAGAGAAACGAGGGGCCAUCGUGGAGUUGAGAGUCAUCCUUAAUGAUACACCUGAGGGGCUGCAGUGGUCAGUCAGCAUCGUUUAUGCUUAUGGGAAUUCCGGGGAGACCUAAUAGCAGCCUUCCAGUACCUGAAGGGGGCCUACAGGAAGGCUGGGGAGAGCCUGUUUAGAAAGGCCUGCAGUGACAGGACGAGGGGAAAUGGCUUCAAGCUGGAGGGGAACAGAUUUAGAUUGGAGAUUAGGAGGGGGUUCUUCACUGUGAGGGUGGUGGAGCACUGGAAGAGGUUGCCCAGGGAGGUGGUUGAGGCCCCAUCCCUGGAGAUAUUCAAGGAGAGGCUCGACGAGGCCCUGGGCAACCUGGUCUAGUUGGGGGUGUCCCUGCUGACUGUGGGGAGGUCGGACUAGAUGACCUUUGGAGGUCCCUUCUGGCCUGGGCAAUUCUAUGAUUCUAUGAAUUGGUAGACACAAUUUAGGAAAAUAAAUUAAUGCAUGAUGUAAGCA
rnacentral:lncRNA from 1 species